rnacentral:rRNA from 1 species
ACACGAACCGGACAAACGUUAUUCGGAAUUAUUGGGCUUAAAGGGUGCGUAGGCGGCGCGGUAAGUGAGGUGUGAAAGCCCACGACUCAAUCGUGGAAUUGCGCUUCAUACUGCCGUGCUAGAGGGAGACAGAGGUAAGCGGAACUGAUGGUGGAGCGGUGAAAUGCGUUGAUAUUAUCAGGAACACCGGUGGCGAAGGCGGCUUACUGGGUCUCUUCUGACGCUGAGGCACGAAAGCUAGGGUAGCGAACGGGAGUAGAAACCCCAGUAGUCC